rnacentral:ribozyme from 1 species
GCAGAGGGGCAGGAAUGAAAGUUCCUGCUAAUGCACAAUUCCAGUCCCAAGUCUGG